UACGUAGGUGACAAGCGUUUGUCCGGAUUUACUGGGCGUAAAGAGCGCGCAGGCGGUCGAUCAAGUCGAGUGUGAAAGCCCCCGGCUCAACUGGGGAGGGUCAUUCGAUACUGAUCGACUCGAAGGCAGGAGAGGGUAGUGGAAUUCCCGGUGUAGUGGUGAAAUGCGUAGAUAUCGGGAGGAACACCAGUGGCGAAAGCGGCUACCUGGCCC
rnacentral:rRNA from 1 species